rnacentral:rRNA from 1 species
UACGUAGGGGGCAAGCGUUGUCCGGAUUUAUUGGGCGUAAAGAGCGUGUAGGCGGUCUGGUAGGUCCGUUGUGAAAACUCGAGGCUCAACCUCGAGACGCCGAUGGAAACCAUCAGACUAGAGUCCGGAAGAGGAGAGUGGAAUUCCCGGUGUAGCGGUGAAAUGCGCAGAUAUCAGGAAGAACACCCGUGGCUAAGGCGGCUCUCUAGUACGGUACUGACGCUGAGACGCGAAAGCGUGGGGAGCGAACAGG